GACGAACGCUGGCGGCGUGCUUAACACAUGCAAGUCGAACGCUGAAGCUCAGCUUUUGUUGGGUGGAUGAGUGGCGAACGGGUGAGUAACACGUGAGUAACCUGCCCCCUUCUUUGGGAUAACGCCCGGAAACGGGUGCUAAUACUGGAUAUUCACUGGUCUUCGCAUGGGGGUUGGUGGAAAGGGUUUUUCUGGUGGUGGAUGGGCUCGCGGCCUAUCAGCUUGUUGGUGGGGUGAUGGCCUACCAAGGCUUUGACGGGUAGCCGGCCUGAGAGGGUGACCGGUCACAUUGGGACUGAGAUACGGCCCAGACUCCUACGGGAGGCAGCAGUGGGGAAUAGUGCACAAUGGGCGCAAGCCUGAUGCAGCGACGCCGCGUGAGGGAUGGGGGCCUUCGGGUUGUGAACCUCUUUCGCUCAUGGUCAAGCCGCAACAAUGGUUGUGGUGAGGGUAGUGGGUAAAGAAGCGCCGGCUAACUACGUG
rnacentral:rRNA from 1 species